AGCCCCUCGAGUGGUGGGGACGUUUAUUUGGCCUAAAGCGUCCGUAGCCGGCUUGGUAAGUCCCUCGUUAAAUCCAGCGUCUCAAGCGUUGGGCCGCGAGGGAGACUGCCGAGCUAGAGGGUGGGAGAGGUCAGCGGUAUUCCUGGGGUAGGGGCGAAAUCCAUUGAUCCCAGGAGGACCACCAGUGGCGAAGGCUGCUGAUCAGAACACGCCUGACGGUCAGGGACGAAAGCUGGGGGAGCGAAUCGGAUUAGAUACCCGAGUAGUCC
rnacentral:rRNA from 1 species